GCUGGGGUCAAGGCCAUUCUUUACAUUCUAUUACAAUACAAAAAGGAAGCAACAGCGUUCCCCUCUCCUACGACCCUCUGCCUGGCUCCAGAAGCAUCCACAUAGACCAAUACAUGCAGGCCAUUAGAAGAGGAAUCAUCGUUGUCUUGGACCAUGAAGGGCAGAAGGCACCAGUUUUGGUCAGCGUCUAUCCAGAAGGAUGCUGGGCCUUCCAGGGGCAUCUGUGGUCCCUGUCCUCUGCUCUUUGGUGGCUGAUGUUAUCCAGAGUUAACUAAAAGCUCCUUCUGAGCCGCACUAACACAGCGCUGAUACUCCUUAGCCAGCUCCGAGCAUUUGAGCACUUCACGUUGGUUUUCUUGAUAGCACUUGAGAAUUUCAGACUGCAGACUGGCACAGACAGGAUCAGUGUUCCUCCUCUUUAUCCAUUCCUCUGCCUUGGUGGCUGCCUCCUGGUACUGCUCCGACGUCAGCUUGUAGAUUUCUGCAUUCUUCCUCUCAAUGCGGGCCAACUGCUCUUUAUAGAAGGCUUCUUGCCGCUUCAGCUCUGCCUCCCUGCCUUGCAGCUCCAGGGCCAGCUGAGCCACUCUCUUCCUCUCUUCAUUAGUGCUGUUCCUUUCCCGCUGAAGGGCAGUACUCAGCGUCUCACCAGCUGCUUCCCUUUCUCUUUUGGCCAGCCGGAGCAGCUCCUCUUGGACCAGGGCCUGCUCCUGCUCAUACCUCCUGUACAAUUCCUGCUCUGCAACCGUAGCCUUCUGACCAGAGUUACUUGCUGUUGGGGGCUGGAUUCCUGUAGGAGAUUUGGGUUUCCCUUCCGCAGCUGUUGAAAAUGGAGCUGUACCACUGGAUGAGUGGGGUGACCUCUGGUUGUCCCUUUUACUUUGAGAUUCUUUCAUUCGAUUCACUACAUCUUCAGUGAGCCUGAUGCCCUGCAGCACCCGGACUUGGUCCCGCUCGUCCAGCCCGAAGGACACCUUCCUGCCGCCCUGGCUGCUCUCGCUGCCCCCCAUGCCGGCGGGGCGGCCGUUGGGGACGCCUCUCCCACAGAGCAGAGCAGCACCUCCCC
rnacentral:lncRNA from 1 species